UAUAUGUGCAGUUGCAAAUUACCUGUAGUGUUGUUCAUCUCUGGUCGAUGCAAUUUUUUCUAGGUUGUGCCUCAGCUUGGUAUCACAUUUAUGGUGAUAUCUCCAAAAAAGCUAUAAAAGGAUUAAAUUUUUUGCUAUCAUAAUCCUAUUUCAGUGCUCGCAUCUGACACCCCAGUUUUUGAUCCCCGGACAGCAAGUUAGGAACAAGAUGUUGCAAUUGUACACUUUGUAGUCGACCCAGUAAUCCCAAAGUAACAGUCUCUAUUGCUCCAUUCUCAACUCAGUGGUGUAAUGAAGUGAAUUAAAAACAGGUUAAUGGUAGCCUCCCGACGGUUGUGGCCUGCGGAAGGUUGGCCGUUUGUAUCUUAUAAUUUGUCCCAUUUGUGCGUACACAGCCCAGAAUAGAUGCAUCAGCAACACACCGUGAAUUGAGCAACUCAUAGGGAACAUGAUGUAGUAAAUGAGGAUGUUUAAUGAACCUCAUAUCAGUACUAAGGCGGAUGGGUCCACACAUGGUUCGCUAGUUCUCACGGCAGACCAGAAAUUG
rnacentral:lncRNA from 1 species